GUGAAGGAGGCGCGAGAGAAACCCAUUUGCGGUUCCGAUCAGCGGACAAAGGCCUUAAUCAUGUAUCCUCCCGCCAAACGACCCUGCCCGAGCCUUAACUCACUGAAUUACAGCUUUCAAAAACGCUUGAAAAAAAGCCUCAAUUGCGUGAAGUAUAGAAAUGCAUGAAGUCACUAUAGCAUAAAGGGAGAGAAGAAAAGGAAUAUCUGGAAAACCUUCACAUGAAAUCUGGAUAUAUGAGAGGACAAUGAGAAUGGAUUCUGAUAAUCUGAAAGACAUACUCAUUUUGGUCUUAGAUGUGAAUGAAAAUUUCAGAAAUGAUGCAAUAAAAGAAUACCAAUUAGAAUAAGUAAA